rnacentral:lncRNA from 1 species
AACUUUCGGUGAACUUCUAGCGAACUCCCGAUGAACUCUCAAUGAACUCCUGAAUGAACUCUCGGUGAUCUUCUGACGAAUUCUCGGUGAGCUUCCGAUAAACUUCCGGCAUAUCGUUUGAAUCUUCAACGUAUCGUCUGAUCUUUGACUCCGACCCAACAUCUGCUUUAUGCCUUACUGCUAUCGUAGUCAAUCCUGCAUACUUAUCUUAACAUACAUAUUAGAUCAAAUGCUUUACCAAUUGAUUUCAUCAUCAAAAUCCGAGAUUCAACAAUCUUUCCCUUUUUGAUGAUGACAAUCAAUUGAUGAUGGUGUUAACUUUAAC